GUGAAUGUUUUGAAAAUAUUUAAUUUGUUUAUUCAUUAAGAGCAUCUGUUCUGCCUUGUAAACUAGAUUCUGACAAGCUAGAUUCUAACAUUCCUAAAAGGAAUUAAAGAAUUGAAUAAGGUAAUCUUUUGUUUAAUAUACAGAAAGCGAAAUAGUUAAAUACACUUUAAUCUAGCGUUAUUUUGGUAAUGAAGUAGCCAAAUAAUUCACUACAUAGAAAAUUGGGCAUUUCUUUCUUCUGCGACUUUCGUAGAAAAUGCUCUCCCCUCUUUUCUGUUAUUUUUUUCAGUGAGAUACUAAAUGCUUACUUUGGAAAAAUGCAUAGAGAAUCUUCUCUUAAGGUAUAAUUUUCCUGUGACAGAAACUAUAAUUUGUGCCAGAGAACUAAGUGUUAGAGUCCAUUGUGAGAUUUUAAAUACAUUCUUAAUGGUUUCUCAAUCCUUUUGUGACCUACAUUAGUGUGAAAUGUUAUUUGUUUCAUCAAAUAGAGCCAGUACUCACAAUAGGAAAUGCACAACCCCAUCUCUGCGGAGAACAGGAAUGAGCUCCCAGAGUAAAGAACAGAACAGAGCUGGUAUUUACGAGUGCAGAUAAAAAAAAAAAAAAACCCUGAAUGAGUUUGUCUUCCUUUUCUAUGCCUAAGCUCACAAAAUGGAAUCCAUAGCAGAAUUAGUUAUCUGAAUUCCUUUUCACAUUGUGCCUUUCCAGUGAACUCCCCUCUUUAGAAACUCCACAGCUGUUCAAGCGAAUGAAUUCUGCAAUGAGAGGUUUUUGAGAAAAAGGCAGAACUACAACCCAAGCUGCUGCAGACUCCCUUUCUUUGCACCUAUACAUGAGGCCUCAGCCUGGAUGACGCCAUGUGGGCUAGGGGAGCAUGCUCAUUAUGUUGAAAAUCCUUCUCAAAGCAGAGCAUCUUUAUGGGGUGUCUUCUGAUAUUUCAACAGUCAACUGUUACCCUUGCAUCUGUGAUGGUGAAAAUGUCAACAUGGUACAUGGUAUGAUUAAUAAUGUAGUGAAGAGUAAAUCGCUCAGAAGCAUGAACCAAAGCCCUUAACAGGUGGAAUGAUCGUCUGGACGGAUCUGCCUCAUGUGAACCUUUCUGAAGGGCAGGAUCUAGUCAAAGCAACCUAGAUCUUAUGCCAGGUGGCAAUCUUGAAAUAUUCUGAUGUAAGUCAGCACGCCGAUGACAUGAAUUCUAAUGAGGGGCUGAUGGGACUAUAUAUUAGUUAUGUGCACCUGCUGUUUUGCCUUUAGCCAACAAGUGACAUGGAGUAGCAAAAUGAAGCAAAUAAUACACUGUGAGAAGUCAUUACUGACAUAAAUCCCAUAAAAGAGCAUUUGAUAAAAGAUACUGGAUUUUACACUGGGUUUUCCUAUUACAGAUGAUUCGGAAAAACAUUAGUCAAGACUUAUAUACAUAUUUAGAACCGGCCUCCAAAGAACAUGUGUAGACAAUGAGAAAUAUGGCAAUUUUAUAAGAGAAUCCAUUCCAAAAUUUAGAUGAUCACAGACUUAAAUGGUGACGCGCUUUUCAUUUACCAUUUCCAGUCUUUCAGCACGCAGG
rnacentral:lncRNA from 1 species